rnacentral:lncRNA from 1 species
UUUAUCCCCUUUUUUGUGGAAUCAUAAUUAAUGGAGGCUAAAUUUGGAGGCAAGGUUCAAAAUUUUUAUGGGCCGGUGGUGUCGGAUUUAAAAAAAGUUGGUAAGAAGACCUUGGAAUGGGAUUUGAAUGAUUGGAAAUGGGAUGGUGAUCUUUUUACUGCUAGCCCUUUGAAUUCUGCACCAUCAGAUUGUAGAAAUCGGCAGUUAUUUCCCGUUGGGCCUGAAAUACCGGCAAAUGGGGCUCAGUCGAAUUGUUCAUCCUCUAGUUCGGAGGAUAAUAAUGUUGGGAAUGAGAAAGGGAAGAGGGAAAUGGAGAAGAGGAGGAGGGUUGUGGUUGUUGAGGAUGACGAAUUAAUUAAUGACCAAGGUGGGUUGCUUAAUUUAAAGCUUGGUGGCCGGGUUUACCCUGUAACAGAUGGGGAUGCAAAGAGUGGGAAGAAGACUAAGAUUGUUGGGACUACUGCAAAUCGUGCGGUUUGUCAGGUGGAGGAUUGUAGGGCUGAUCUAAGCAAUGCCAAGGAUUACCACCGGCGACAUAAGGUUUGUGAUAUGCAUUCAAAGGCAACUAAAGCACUUGUGGGAAACGUUAUGCAGCGAUUCUGCCAGCAGUGUAGCAGGUGAGUGGGUUACUUAUUUGGCCAUUUUUGUUUGGAUAAAUGAAUAAGGAAGUCCAUAAUUUUUGUGAAUAAUCAACCGUGGUUAAAAUCAGUAGUUGCUUUCUUGUGCACAUCCUCACUGAGUUAAAACAAACAAAAUUAGUUCUGUCGACCUGUAAUAAUUUGUUAAUGUUGUUUAAAUUUGAGUAAUUCAGUGUUGAUUGUUGUGAUACAGAAGGAUUUUUUUUAGUUUUCUCCAGUUAGAUGCAACUUGGUUAUACUUAUGGGCA